UACGUAGGGUGCGAGCGUUAAUCGGAAUUACAGGGCGUAAAGCGUGCGCAGGCGGUUCGUUGUGUCGGUGGUGAAAUCCCCGGGCUUAACCUGGGAAUGGCCAUGGAAACUGGCGAACUGGAGUGCGGCAGAGGGGGGUGGAAUUCCGCGUGUAGCAGUGAAAUGCGUAGAGAUGCGGAGGAACACCGAUGGCGAAGGCAGCCCCCUGGGCUAGCACUGACGCUCAGGCACGAAAGCGUGGGGAGCAAACAGG
rnacentral:rRNA from 1 species